CUCGUAGGCGGUUCGACAAGUCGGGUGUGAAAACUCCGGGCUCAACCCGGAGACGCCACCCGAUACUGUCGUGACUGGAGUCCGGUAGGGGAGUGGGGAAUUCCUGGUGUAGCGGUGAAAUGCGCAGAUAUCAGGAGGAACACCGGUGGCGAAGGCGCCACUCUGGGCCGGUACUGACGCUGAGGAGCGAAAGCCAGGGGAGCAAACG
rnacentral:rRNA from 1 species